UUAGGGAGCUACCAUUUGAUAUUUAUGGGGGGGCUAGGAUGAAAUUUGAAAAAAAUAGGCAGGACAGGAGUUUUGAGUAAAAAAAAAAGGCAGGAUGAGACACUUGCAAAAAAAAAAAGUUAGGACGACAAUUAAGGUAAAAAAAAAAGGCAGGACCAAACAGAGUGAAAAAUAAAAAGGCGGGACAGAUAUUACAGCUAAAAAAAAAUGCAGGACAAAAUUUUUCAUCCUAGCCCCCCCCCC
rnacentral:lncRNA from 1 species